rnacentral:rRNA from 1 species
UACGUAGGGAGCAAGCGUUGUCCGGAAUCAUUGGGCGUAAAGCGCGCGUAGGUGGCCCGAUAAGUCCGCUCUGAAAGUCACAGGCUCAACCUGUGAAAGCGGGUGGAUACUGUCGGGCUAGAGUCCGGAAGAGGCGAGUGGAAUUCCUGGUGUAGCGGUGGAAAUGCGCAGAUAUCAGGAGGAACACCAGAGUGGCGAAGGCAGCUCGCUGGGACGGUACUGACGCUGAGACGACGAAGCGUGGGGAGCAAACAGG